GACGAACGCUGGCGGCGUGCUUAACACAUGCAAGUCGAACGGAAAGGCCCUGCUUUUGUGGGGUUCUCGAGUGGCGAACGCGUGAGUAACACGUGUGUAUCCUGCCCUUGUCUUUGGGAUAACUUCAGGUAGCUGGGGCUAAGAUCGGAUAGGAGCUCCUGCAGCAGGGUGGGCGUUGGAAAGUUUCGGCUGGUGGGGCUGGACUCGCGGCUUAUCAGCUUGCUGGUGGGGUAGUGGCUUACCAAGGCUUUGACGGGUAGCCGGCUUGAGAGGGUGAACGGCGACAUUGGGACUGAGAUACGGCCCAGACGCCUACGGGAGGCAGCAGUGGGGAGUAUUGCACAGUGGGCGGGAGCGUGAUGCAGCAACGCCGCGUGCGGGAUGACGGCCUUCUGGUUGUAAACCGCUUUCGCCUGUGACGAAGCGUGAGUGACGGUAAUGGGUAAAGAAGCACCGGCUAACUACGUG
rnacentral:rRNA from 1 species